rnacentral:rRNA from 1 species
CCCUUAGAUGUUCUGGGCCGCACGCGCGCUACACUGAUGCAUUCAACGAGUUCCUACCUUGGCCGAGAGGCCUGGGCAAUCUUUUGAACUUGCAUCGUGAUAGGGAUAGAUUAUUGCAAUUAUUAAUCUUGAACGAGGAAUUCCUAGUAAACGCAGAUCAUCAAUCUGCAUUGAUUACGUCCCUGCCCUUUGUACACACCGCCCGCCGCACCUACCGAUUGAAUGGUCCGGUGAAGCCUCGGGAUUGUGGUUAGUUUCCUUCAUUGGAAGUUAGCCGCGAGAACUUGUCUAAACCUUAUCAUUUAGAGGAAGGUGAAGUCGUAACG